rnacentral:rRNA from 1 species
UACGGAGGGUGCAAGCGUUAUCCGGAUUCAUUGGGUUUAAAGGGUGCGUAGGUGGGAAUUUAAGUCAGUGGUGAAAGCCUGCAGCUCAACUGUAGAAUUGCCAUUGAUACUGAUUUCCUUGAGUGCAGAUGAGGUGGGCGGAAUGUGACAUGUAGCGGUGAAAUGCUUAGAUAUGUCACAGAACACCGAUUGCGAAGGCAGCUCACUAAACUGUUACUGACACUGAUGCACGAAAGCGUGGGGAUCAAACAGG